rnacentral:rRNA from 1 species
GAUGAACGCUAGCUACAGGCUUAACACAUGCAAGUCGAGGGGUAGCACAGAAGAAGCUUGCUUCUUUGGGUGACGACCGGCGCACGGGUGAGUAACGCGUAUCCGACCUACCCAUAACACGGGCACAGCCGCUCGAAAGAGUGAUUGAUUCCCGAUGGUGUUUCAAUUCCGCAUGUUAAUGAAACUAAAGAUUUAUCGGUAUCGGAUGGGGAUGCGUGACAUUAGAUAGUAGGCGGGGUAACGGCCCACCUAGUCUACGAUGUCUAGGGGUUCUGAGAGGAAGGUCCCCCANACUGGAACUGAGACACGGUCCAGACUCCUACGGGAGGCAGCAGUGAGGAAUAUUGGUCAAUGGAGGCAACUCUGAACCAGCCAAGUAGCGUGCAGGACGACGGCCCUAUGGGUUGUAAACUGCUUUUAUGCGGGGAUAAAUGAUCCUACGUGUAGGAUUUUUGCAGGUACCGCAUGAAUAAGGACCGGCUAAUUCCGUGCCAGCAG